rnacentral:rRNA from 1 species
AACGAACGCUGGCGGCAGGCCUAACACAUGCAAGUCGAACGCUCCGCAAGGGGAGUGGCAGACGGGUGAGUAACACGUGGGAAUCUUCCUGUUGGUGCGGAAUAGCUCAGGGAAACUUGGGGUAAUACCGCAUAAGCCCGAAAGGGGAAAGAUUUAUCGCCGACAGAUGAGCCCGCGUCUGAUUAGCUAGUUGGUGAGGUAACGGCUCACCAAGGCGACGAUCAGUAGCUGGUCUGAGAGGAUGACCAGCCACACUGGGACUGAGACACGGCCCAGACUCCUACGGGAGGCAGCAGUGGGGAAUAUUGGACAAUGGGCGCGAGCCUGAUCCAGCCAUGCCGCGUGAGUGACGAAGGUCUUCGGAUUGUAAAGCUCUUUUGCCAGGGACGAUAAUGACGGUACCUGGAGAAUAAGCCCCGGCUAACUUCGUGCCAGCCGCCGCGGUAAAAC